CACCCCACCUCUUCAAAGUAGGAGUGUCAGUGACACUGGAAGACAGUGAUGUGAGAUGGGAUAUUCCUAGGGCCAUCUUUGGAAAAUAGGACAUAGGAAACAGCUCUGUUAAGUACAAAGCAUCACAUGAAUGGUGUUGCUAAUACUCAGGCCUUCCCCUGAAGUGCUGUUUCACAUAUUUAACAGGGACCUUGAAUCCAGGAGCGCCUGCUGAAGUGCCUCCAUUUAGAACAUUUCACAUCGUGGUCACCUCGCUCUUCUGGACAUGGGUCUGAUUUUUCUACCAAGCCUAAGCACCAAGGCAUGGAUCUGGGCACUGGAAAUAAAGUGAUAAUCAAGAUAUCCAUCAUCACUGCCAUCAUGGAACUUGAACCUGGAAGGAAUGAACUCAGUGCACUUUACUGGUGCCUUUGCCCAAACAUCUGAAAUUUGCUGCCUGGGAUCUGCCAAGUGCAGG